rnacentral:lncRNA from 1 species
UCGAAUAUAAUCACAAAAGGUUUCAUGUAAUUAUCUUGCUAAGAGAACCGAGUAUGAUGCAUUGAGUAAGUUUCUUUCACCUUUUAAUUUUGACUAUUUGUGAUUUCUGCGUUAUAUACAUCAAUGAAAAUAAAGGUAUGAAAUAGUUUUCUUGUAAUAAAAGACAAAGCAGAGCUAAAUGAAGGAGAAAGUGACUCAAUAAUUUUAGUUUAGAAGGUGUAAAUGGAUCAUGAAAAAUCUCUCUGUUCCUGUGUUCUCUGUGAGGUCAUCUUAUAGUAAAGAUUAAAGCCGUAUUUAAGAGCUUUAUGGGAGGAGUGGAGUCCAUAACAUUGGAGGAAAGAACCGAGGACGUAAUAGUGAAAAUUAAAUUAUUCUUCAAGAUGUCUCUGAAACAGUCGAGAAAUUAAGGCUAUCAAUCCUAAAACUAUCCAAAAAUUCCAUAAAACCAAAGGAAGAAAUCCCCCUCCCGUCCAAGAAGUUCUUGGUCAAAACUGUAAAAAUAAAUAACGAUUUGAAACCAGUGAUGCUCAGGACAGACUCCACACUGGUAGAAUUUUGAUUUUGGGGGACAAGUUACGAGCUCUACUAUUCUACAAAUAAGAUGGAGUCAAUGAGAAACUCUAGACACUCCAAUAAUGGACAUAGGAGGAUAUCUAAAUGAAAUAAAUUAAACUUUUGGUUAGGCAAUUCUCCUCCUAAUGAGACGGUAUGGCUUCUUUCAAUGUCAUCAAAAGCGGGGAGAAAAAUUCUCAGACUGGCAUCUCCGUCUCAGACUACAGGGAUAAGAAGCAGAGAUCAACAGAAUCAAUCAAGACUAUUUGUACACCCUAUGCUUGAUCACGAAUACAAAUAAUAGACGUCUACGGGAAGAGUUUGGCCAUAUCGAGCCUCUUAUAUCAAUCAUAUGUUUUAAUUAAUUUGCUAAAAUUCUUGGCUCUCUUUACUAUUUGAAUAGUUAGUAAGUACAUAAUUUAAUUAAAUCGUUAACGGAAUGUCCGUCAAAGUAGGCCAAAUCAUUAAAAGCUUAUACAAAAAGCUAUUGCCUGGGAGUCGGCAUCAUUUAUCGAGGACGAAAUAAAAAAUGAAAACAAAAACAGAUUUUUUUUUAGCUCUUUCUACUCACAAAGAUCUUCAAAGACAACAACAAAAUCCAACCACAAACAAGAAACAUCAUUAUCCACCAAAACUUGAAAGUAAAUGCUAUAGAGGUGGCGUGUCAAAUACAUCCCGUCGACCUUUUGAAUGUCUUGCUAAAAUUGAGAUGUGUAAAAAAUACAAAAAGAAGGGCUUUUUCGAGAAAAUUUGCCUACAUGAUGCUAAAUUUUCAUUGCAGAGUAAGGCCAAGCCAAUCAAAAUGUCGACAAUCAAAACGAAAACUUUGUUCACCGAUCAUGUCACUCUAUAUAUCGAGGCUGAAGUUUAUCCAAGGUAUGGCCAACCCUUUACCAUGAAAGCUCUCCCUGAUACAUGAGCUACUGAGUUUCAUGUUUCUCACAACUUGGAUGAUGGAGUACAUCAUCCAAAUAGACUCAUCUAAAAGACUCUCCGUCACAGCAGCGAACAAUGCAAGCUUGAGAUACAUGGGUGCAGUCUGUCUUCGUAUUAAAAUAGGAGAAGUCCCCGAAACAGAUAUCACGGCAUGCGUUACUCUAGAUCUGCAAGAUGAAUUAAUUAUUUCAUGGCAUUGUCAACAAAAACUGAGAAUUAUACCUGAAAAUUUUCCUCAAGUCAUUUAAGUUUCUCCAAGUAAAUCUAUCAUCCGUAAGAUAGUAUCGACGACGGGGGAUACAUCUUUCAAAAAUAUAACAAGGGAGUUUCCUUUUCUAUUCAAGCGAAUUGCAAUCGUGGAAAAGGCUACUACAAAGUUACUUAUAAUUUUAAAAGGAUAUAUAGUAACCAAAUGUCUAAGAAGUACUCUAUAUUUGGAUAUAAAUUAUGUUGGAGAUGAUUUCUAACAGUAUGUGUAUUAGGUGCUUAGGCCUACCUUGUUUAUUGAUAUCGAUUCGAAGAAUUUAUCAAAUAAAUUUGUACGAGAUAUUCUUUCCUAAAAUAGCCCAAUGCACUCUUUAUUAGUAUUAAGUUUGGAGGUUAUCAGAAGAUUAACCUCGUAGGGCAACUGACUUCAAUGUUUAUAAACGGUUUGGGUCUUAUACGUAGUUUCUAGAACAUUCGACAGUCUUUUAUCAUGUGCAUAGUCCCAUGAUGAGAUGACCUCUAUUUAUACGGUACUCAUUAUUAUGAACAUUUCAAAUAACAGCUUCUGUUUCAACUCACCAUUAAAGCGGCCCCUUUACGUCAUAAAUCAUCACUUAAAAAUACAAAGACUGACAUACUCCUAUUUAUUACUUAUAAGACAAAAAUAAAUAAAAUCUAUACACAACCAUAUAAUAAUAACAACAUAAGAAUAUAUAGUAGGUCAAUAUAGAUCCUUUUCCAAUGAUACUACAGUACCUGGAAUGUCAAAUGAAAUUAAUUUGUUGAAAUCAAUCUGUAAUUCAUUCUAAGAGCUUGGCUAUUCAUUACCUUGUCAAUGCUUUCUCAAACCGUGUCUUCCGACCUAAUGGAGGUCAAAGGGAAAACUUAUCUCGUCGUUGUAGACCGCUAUGCAGGGUGACCCCUCAUCGUCAGUUACAAAAGACUUCAACUAAGUCAAGCAGUGAUAUAAUGUUGACGUGGUUUGAAGAUUAUGAGUUUCCAAUGCAUAUUCCAACUGACGGUGGACCAUUAUUACGAACAUAUUUCAGGGAGUUCUGUAAAGAUAUAGGUAUGAAAAAAAUAAUAAAAUAAUAAAAAAUAGACCUUUAUGCGUAGUCAUUGGUGUUAUAUAGCAAGGGGCUAUCAGGAAACAUGAAAGAAUAUAACUGUUUAUUAGAUUAAUACUUACGCCUUCAUAUUAAUAAUUAACUGUUUAAAAAGAUGGAUACAUCCUUUCUUAUCAAAUAUUUGGAGACCUUCUGGAAUCCUCAUCAUCUCUUUCUUGAUGCACUUCAUCUUCUUUUUGUAAAAUUUUAUGCAUAGUAUAGAAAUCACUUCUUUUACUAAUUUUCACUAAUACUAUAAUAUUUAUACAAGAGUUCAAAUAAAAAUUAACCACAACCAUUAGAUUAUAAAAUAAAUAAUUGCAUUUUACUCCUAACUUAAUAAAAAUAAUUUUAUGGUAAUUACUAAAUUAAUAAAUUGAAAUGGAUUUCAGGAUACAAAAAUAUAUGUAAAAUAACCAUUUGGAUAUCCUCAUUUAUGUACAAAAUAUUAUAAUUAAAAAAAGAAAAUUCAAAUUGAUAAAAAAAUCUUAGAAAAUUUACAACAAAAUAUUAAAACAAAUUUAUUCAUUUCCAUCGCACAAGAGAUUAGUGAGCACCGAUAAAAAAGUCUUUAGAUUUCUAUAAAUUUUAUGAAGAUGAUAUCUUUAUAGAUGUUGAUUGUUGUUGUUGUCUUUAUUAAGGAGCUAGAAAAUAGUCUUUCCU